AACGCUGGCGGCGUGCCUAAUACAUGCAAGUCGAGCGAACAGACGAGGAGCUUGCUCCUCUGACGUUAGCGGCGGACGGGUGAGUAACACGUGGAUAACCUACCUAUAAGACUGGGAUAACUUCGGGAAACCGGAGCUAAUACCGGAUAACAUGUUGAACCGCAUGGUUCAACAGUGAAAGACGGUCUUGCUGUCACUUAUAGAUGGAUCCGCGCCGCAUUAGCUAGUUGGUAAGGUAACGGCUUACCAAGGCAACGAUGCGUAGCCGACCUGAGAGGGUGAUCGGCCACACUGGAACUGAGACACGGUCCAGACUCCUACGGGAGGCAGCAGUAGGGAAUCUUCCGCAAUGGGCGAAAGCCUGACGGAGCAACGCCGCGUGAGUGAAGAAGGUCUUCGGAUCGUAAAACUCUGUUAUUAGGGAAGAACAAAUGUGUAAGUAACUAUGCACGUCUUGACGGUACCUAAUCAGAAAGCCACGGCUAACUACGUGCCAGCAGCCGCGGUAAUACGUAGGUGGCAAGCGUUAUCCGGAAUUAUUGGGCGUAAAGCGCGCGUAGGCGGUUUUUUAAGUCUGAUGUGAAAGCCCACGGCUCAACCGUGGAGGGUCAUUGGAAACUGGAAAACUUGAGUGCAGAAGAGGAAAGUGGAAUUCCAUGUGUAGCGGUGAAAUGCGCAGAGAUAUGGAGGAACACCAGUGGCGAAGGCGACUUUCUGGUCUGUAACUGACGCUGAUGUGCGAAAGCGUGGGGAUCAAACAGGAUUAGAUACCCUGGUAGUCCACGCCGUAAACGAUGAGUGCUAAGUGUUAGGGGGUUUCCGCCCCUUAGUGCUGCAGCUAACGCAUUAAGCACUCCGCCUGGGGAGUACGACCGCAAGGUUGAAACUCAAAGGA
rnacentral:rRNA from 1 species